AGUGAACGCUGGCGGUAGGCCUAACACAUGCAAGUCGAACGGCAGCACAGUAAGAGCUUGCUCUUACGGGUGGCGAGUGGCGGACGGGUGAGGAAUACAUCGGAAUCUACUUUUUCGUGGGGGAUAACGUAGGGAAACUUACGCUAAUACCGCAUACGACCUACGGGUGAAAGCAGGGGAUCUUCGGACCUUGCGCGAUUGAAUGAGCCGAUGUCGGAUUAGCUAGUUGGCGGGGUAAAGGCCCACCAAGGCGACGAUCCGUAGCUGGUCUGAGAGGAUGAUCAGCCACACUGGAACUGAGACACGGUCCGGACUCCUACGGGAGGCAGCAGUGGGGAAUAUUGGACAAUGGGCGCAAGCCUGAUCCAGCCAUACCGCGUGGGUGAAGAAGGCCUUCGGGUUGUAAAGCCCUUUUGUUGGGAAAGAAAAGCAGCAGGUUAAUACCCCGCUGUUCUGACGGUACCCAAGGAAUAAGCACCGGCUAACUUCGUG
rnacentral:rRNA from 1 species